AUUCAAGGCAUAGAUUUUUUCACCCAUACUGAUGACUUUAGCUUAACAUUCUUCAAAGGUGGAUGUUGGUGGGGAUGGAAACUUCGUACCAGUAUUCCAUUACAUUUUGUUGCCGUGUGACAGAUGACAGCAGAGGGGCAGUCUGGAAGAAUGGCGUCUGACAUGGAAGUGCGACAGAAGCAAAGAUGUAUCACCGAAUUCAUCGCUGAAAAAGUUGUUCCUAUUGACAUUCGCUGACAAUUGCUGAACAUUUAUGGAGACCACACAGUGGAUGUGAGCACAGUGAGGAGGUAGGGGUGCGUUUUAGCGGCGGUGACAGCGACGUUAAAGACAAACUAUGUUCCAAGAGGACUUGCAGAUUUUUACCAGCUGGGAUUGCAGGAUCUUGUCCAUGGCUGCUGAAAAUGUAUAGCUAGUGGUGGUAACUGUGCUGCAAAACAGUGUUUUGUAGUCGAGAACUUGUUCUAUUGUACAGUGUAAUUGCUCUCUUUGUUUCUGUUUUAGUUACCAUGGGAAUAAAUAGGAGGCAUUACUUUUGGAAUGACCCACAUAUAAUGAACUCAUCAGAAGAGGAAAGCUGAGAGAUUCAGGAUGAAUUAAAACUCAUCAGCAACAUUCAGAGAGAAAGAGUAAAAAC
rnacentral:lncRNA from 1 species